rnacentral:lncRNA from 1 species
ACAAAAUACGCACAAUCUGAAACGCAGAAUUAAAAAAAAACUCUCGUUCACGUACAAACGCAGAAUCGUGAGAUAGAGCCUUGCUGCUCAAUACUCACGCAGGCAACGGGAAGUUUAGGUUUUUUUACAAGUCGCUAAGUCUUGAACUCAGGUAUAUAAAAUUCCUUAUUGUCAAUUACCCUACAGUAGUAUUAGCUAAGAAUUGAGUAGUUAAUUCCCUUCUUCCUCUAUAUCAACAAUAAAUUUCAUAUUUAGGUGUAGUACUUUAAAAUUGAUUAAAAUGUACUGGUUAUUGUAGAAUCGAUUGUUUGACUGGUGUCAAUUGGACUGGGGCUACGUAUUGGCUCGAGAAGUUUUGAGGUGAGUUGAUAUAACCCUUUACUAAAGUAGUUUAACUCACAGAAGCACGCAUACAAGAUGUUUGUUGAAUUGCAUAAAGGAGUUAAUAUAUAUUUAAUUGGAGUAG